GUAUAAUAUAUUAUAAUCAAGGAAUGAAAUAGAGGAAAAGUUAUUUGCAUAUAGUUUAUUCUUGGGAGUUAUAAGAUGAGACCCAUGAGGUAGAGCUGGAGAAUUAGAUUAUCCUUUGUUGUUGACACUGUUAAAAUUAGUUGAAGAGAGAUUCAGACACUUAUGAAUGAGUCUAUGAAUUAGUCUGAUAGCGAACAAAAAGUUGC